GGGUAAGUGGCUCAAUAAGGUAUAUGAUUGGUUUGAGGAAUGGUUGAUCCAAGCUGCAAAACCUCUCCCAACCUUGCUGCCCAAUCUAUUGCCCUAUCCAAAAUCCUAUCUAGAAAGUGAAAAUCUAUCUUAUGGCUUAUCAUGAUGAUGUGGUCACUGAGGACUUGUUUGGUUCACAGGAAGUGGAGGAGGGGAGAGAUAAUUCCUGGGAAGUGGAGAGGGGAUC
rnacentral:lncRNA from 1 species